rnacentral:rRNA from 1 species
UACGGAGGAUCCGAGCGUUGUCCGGAAUGACUGGGCGUAAAGGGUGUGUAGGCGGUUUAUUAAGUUAGAAGUGAAAUACCUAGGGCUUAACCCAGGUGCUGCUUCUAAAACUGAUAGACUUGAGUGCAGUAGAGGAAAGUGGAAUUCCUAGUGUAGCGGUGAAAUGCGUAGAUAUUAGGAGGAACACCAGUGGCGAAGGCGGCCUGCUGGACUGUAACUGACGUUGAGGCUCGAAAGCGUGGGGAGCAAACAGG